rnacentral:lncRNA from 10 species
UCCGCCAUGGGCCUGCGCCGCCUCGGGACCGGGGUCAGGGAGCUCCUGCCUGCCUGGAUGAAGAGGAGGUCAAGACUUUGUCCCCCACUCCGCAAGAUACCCUCUCUGUUCCGGAGCGGUGGGUCCCUCCCCUGUUAGGACCUUGUCUCCCUCAGGACUGGACCUGGAUCCUGGGCCUGCAGUCAGAUUGCCAGUUUCACUUAGAGGUGGAAAUGUCAACCCACUGGUUGGAAUGGGAAGCUGCUGUGUUGUGAGCCACCUUAUGGAAAACCCAUGUGGCAGAGAACCGAGGGUGGUGGCUGGCCAACAGCAAGCCAGGAGCUGAGGCCCACAGUCCAACAACUGGUGAGGAACCACAUGCUGCCAGCAGCCAUGUGAGGGAACUUAGAAGCAAAUCCUUCCCCAGUUGAGCCUUCAGAUGACACCAGAGCCUUGGCUGACCCCUUACUUUUACCCUUGUAAGAGACUUUGAGCCAGAAGACUUGGCUAAACCACACCUGGAUUCCUGACCCACAGAAACUUGAAAUAAUAAAUGUGUUGUUUUAAGUCACUCGGUUUUGGGGUAAUUUGUUACAUAGCAGAGAUAACUAAUAUAGCCCCCCUUUUUU